rnacentral:rRNA from 1 species
UACAGGGGUGCCAACGUUUCUCGGGAUUAUUGGGCGUAAAGCGCGCGUAGGCUGCUACUUAAGUUGGAUGUGAAAGCCCUUGGCUCAACUGAGGAAGUGCACCCGAAACUGAGUGGCUAGAGUACGAAAGAGGGUCGCGGAAUUCCCGGUGUAGAGGUGAAAUUCGUAGAUAUCGGGAGGAACACCGGUGGCGAAGGCGGCGACCUGGGUCGAUACUGACGCUGAUGCGCGAAAGCGUGGGGAGCAAACAGG